rnacentral:rRNA from 2 species
UAAGCGGAGGAAAAGAAACCAACAGGGAUUGCCCUAGUAACGGCGAGUGAAGCGGCAACAGCUCAAAUUUGAAAUCUGGCUACCUUUCGUAGUCCGAGUUGUAAUUUGUAGAGGAUGCUUUUGGUGAGGUGCCUUCCGAGUUCCCUGGAACGGGACGCCAUAGAGGGUGAGAGCCCCGUACGGUUGGAUACCAAGCCUCUGUAUAGCUCCUUCAACGAGUCGAGUAGUUUGGGAAUGCUGCUCUAAAUGGGAGGUAUAUCUCUUCUAAAGCUAAAUAUAGGCUAGAGACCGAUAGCGCACAAGUAGAGUGAUCGAAAGAUGAAAAGCACUUUGAAAAGAGAGUUAAACAGCACGUGAAAUUGUUGAAAGGGAAGCGCCUAUGACCAGACUUGUUUCUGGCAGUUUCGUUAGCCUUCGGGCUGAUUUACUCUGUCCAGUACAGGCCAGCAUCAGUUUGCUGUCGGGGAGAAAGGCUCUGGGAACGUAGCUCCCCCCUUCUGGGGGGAGUGUUAUAGCCCUCUGCAUAAUACCCUUCGGCAGACUGAGGACCGCGCUUCGGCAAGGAUGCUGGCGUAAUGGUCAUCAGCGACCCGUCUUGAAACACGGACCAAGGAGUCAACCUUAUGUGCGAGUGUUUGGGUGUAAAACCCCAGCGCGUAAUGAAAGUGAACGUAGGUGAGAGCUUCGGCGCAUCAUCGACCGAUUCUGAUGUUUUCGGAUGGAUUUGAGUAAGAGCACACAGGGUUGGACCCGAAAGAAGGUGAACUAUGCUUGUAUAGGGUGAAGCCAGAGGAAACUCUGGUGGAGGCUCGCAGCGGUUCUGACGUGCAAAUCGAUCGUCAAAUAUGAGCAUGGGGGCGAAAG